CAUGCAUGAAACAUUAAAUAUAGACGAAAACAAAUACUAAUUACAGAGUUUAGUUGUAAAUCACGAGACGAAUCUUUUGAUUCUAGUUAGUACAUGAUUGGAUAAUAUUUAUCACAAACAAACGAAAGUGCUACAGUACCGAAAUCUUUUCACUUUUCGGAACUAAACAAGGCCGAGAACAUGUCGCCUUCCAUCCCAUGCACGCCGCCCGCCGCCGGACCACCUUG
rnacentral:lncRNA from 1 species